UGACUAUGAAUACCGGCCAUAGAUUUUCAGUGCUGGCAGUGAAUAUCGGAACGCAACCCUCGCGAGCAGUAACGAAAGCAGGAAGUGACAAUAAAAUCUAUGACGUCAUAUAGAAGAUAAAGUUUUGAAAGCUUAUUGUUGCGUGUAUCGGAACAGCAUUCGCAAUGGCUGCGUUCAGCAGAGAAAGUAGAUCAGUGAGCGUUCAGUGAUUCUUUAUUAUGAUUGGUUUCUACACUUACAUUCAACGAAGAUCUAAAGGCAAGGACCAAUCAUAUUGAAAAAUCACUGAGCGCUCACUGAUCCGCUUUCUCUGCUGAACGCAGCCAAUGCUGCCAGUAUUUACAGAAUAUCGGAACGCAGUUGAUAUGAAUACUGGGGAUCAAUCAUGAAACUUUUUCCCUAAGUGUGAACUCGUGAAAAAAAUGAAAAUUUUCAUAGAAAUAAAAAGUUUCAUAGUGAAUUAAUUUUUCCAUGUUAAAAUUAGUCGGUUAUAAUGGCUGCUGCACAGUGGAUUAUUCUUGAAGAAAAAGAAGAAAAUCAAAGGAAUGAAAAUUCAAUAUGUAUAAUGCGUAGAAUUUUAAGAAAUACUCAAGAUUCAUUUGAUAUUCCAAAAAAAGGAUUUCAAGAAUUAUACAGCAAAUAUGAUAACUAAAUGAUGAUUGGAUAAAUAAAAAGUGUUAUUAAACAUAUUGAUAGGUUAUCUUAAGAGGCAGCAAUCCAACUGUGCCAAGAUUUAUUAUUCCAUAUAUUCAAAGGAAAGAGACAAACAGCAAUAUCUCGUGAACUCAAGGAUUUUAUCAACGCAUUGAUUAAGAUUUUUAAUCUGCAUGUGCCAAGCAUCAAUAUCUACAGCAAUUCGUAUUGUUAUAGAGGCAUUUAAUAUAAAGCAUUGGAUUAAAUUUCCACAACUGUAUCAUGAUGUUUAACAUUAAAGAGCAGAAAAUUUUGGAUCCAUUGUAGAUUUCCAAAGCUAAUAGAUGUUAAUUGCACCAUGUCGCUAUUUGGCCUUCAGAAAAAAACAAAAAUAUUUAUAUAUUAACAGAAAAUUAUAUCAUUCGUUAAAUGUUUUGAUAGUUUCUGAUUAUUACGGAAAAAUUUUAGCUCUAAAUAGUGGGAAUGGGGAAAGGACGUAUGAUGCACGCGUCCGGAAUGCUUCAACUAUUUCUGCAUAUUUCUGCAUAAAACAGCAAUAUAAUAAUAGACAAAGAAAUUGUUGGUUGUUUGGAAUUCAGGAUACCUUUUAUUACCUUAUUUAAUGACACCAAAAUUGGGCCAAUCUGAACAUUCACCUUCUGCUCAUUACACAAAUGCUCAUGUAAGAACACGCUCAAGUGUUGAACGAACUAUCGGAGUCUUGAAGAGACGAUGGGGAUAUCUGAGAAAGGAAAGAAGAUUGCAUUAUUCAUCACAAUUUUCUGCACUUAUUGCCAAUGCGUACUUCAUAAUGUGGCCAAAUUCUAUAAUGUACCUUGUUACGUCUCGUCAAUCAGCGCAACGAUGAUUGCUAAUUCGCGUUUAAUGACUGAUUGGGGAAAUCGUCGAAACUGGAAUCAUGCAAUUAGAAGUUACUUACCUUUUGUGAUCAACAAGGAUUUUCCAGGAUUUCAGCUCGCUUCUGUAAGUAGAGUUCAUGACAAGGGUUGUCCUCAUGGAUGUUCAGUGGAGGAAAUCAGGGGCAGAUAAUAAUAACGGGCAUCACUUGAUACUCAAAUAUCGUCCUCAGUGAUGAUCGGUCGAAGAAAGCUUCGUAUGCGACAUGAGAAACAUAGUCAGUUCCCAGGAUGAAAGACAGAUUGAGCACCAUUGCUAUUUGUAGAUUGUAUAGUAGUCGACGUAUGACCUGGUUACAACCAUCGGGGGUUUUUGACAUUGUUGGGAAAUUUUGUUGAAGUAGAUUAUGGAGGUUUGAUAUUGAUUGGUUUCCAUCCACACAAUCUCAAGCACUACAAUGUGACGCGUGCAAGCGAUACUGAGAGGCACGGAUUAGGAACCAAUCUCGGGCAUUGUUUCCCGGGGUUAAGCAGUGCGCGCGUAACGCACAUUUACCCCCCGUGGUGAAUCACAAAAGUCGUUUUAUUUAAUAUUUAUCCCGACUAAGGAAACAUUUUACGUUGUUAAUGAAUAUAGUUGCGCUAAGAAAGGACUUAGGAGAGGUGCGAAAGAAUUAUUUUUUUAGAUUUUAGUAAAUUACUGUAUUAUAUCAAGAUCGGAUGAGGCCGUUUGAUCACGUUGCAAUUGACCACCAGUCACUCAUAGUUUGAAUAGAGGAAAACCUCUAGGCACUCGCCAUUAUGAGUGACUGUGGUCAAUCGCAACGUCAAACGGGUUGCUCUGACUUAAGUCUAAGGUUAGGACAAGAGGACUGAUUUUACAGGACCGUUCAGAUCUAGAUUUGCGAAUCCAAAUGACUGAGCGUGGAUACGUAUCGAAGUCUGGCGAGUGGGACCCGUUUGACUAUGUUGCAAUUGACCAUCAGCCACUCAUAGCGUUUGAACAGAGGAAAAUUUCUAAGCACCGGCCACUGUGAGUGGCUGUGGUCAAUCGCAAUGUGGUCAAACGGGACGCUCCCGUCCUUGACUGGAAUCUGCUCAUGGUCGAUAGUAGAACGCUCGACGGCACUGGAAUGGAGGUCGACUGUUGUCGACGCUCGGUCAUAGGUCGGUAUUCAUAAUGCGUUCUUAUAUUAUUUUAAGUUAGUUCUCAGAUUAUCUUAAGAUCAUGUUCAAUGAAAUGAACGUAUUACAUCUCGAAUUCAUACUUAAGUUGAUCUUAAAUAUGAGAACUGACUUUGAAUACCGGUCAUAGUCAGUUCUUGCUUCUUGUCCAGUGAUUGCUUCUCGACUAGAGGUUGGGAGCAAUUCAAACACUCGAAAUUUACGAACUGUAGUUCGUCAAACAUAAUGUGAGUUAAAGUAAUUAUAGAUUAAAGAAUUGUCUAUAAUUAAAAAUUUUACAAGGCACGAUCUGCACAAGAGAGUGUUUCCCUCGGGUUGAAUAUAAUCUUUCAGAUGAGAUUCUGCCUAAGCUAACUGACUUUCCCUAAUCUAUAUUUUAUACGCAAAGUGCAUACGUGGUACGCCAAAGGGCCUUAUUGGCGAUUGGAAGGCUCGAGAGCGAAUGCUCCACGGCAAUCCAACCACUUUUUACUUUUUCGGUUUUGCUAUUUUUUAAAUAUUUUUUUAUUUUAGCGACUUAGAAAAUUUUUAUGACUGUACUACAUAUUAAUUUGCUUGAUCGACAAGUAGCGUGACUGACGGGCAGGCUGUGAAGACUAUUACUUAUGUCGAGUAUAAAUUUCAUUUUAUAUAUUAUAGUUCUCGUAGGAAUGAGGGGACUUAUUAGCGCUUUCCUAGAUAAAAAUCUUCGAUUUUAUGUACACGACUUGUGAACAUUAGAUCUCAAAGAAUUUACAGCUUUAGGUUUGAAAAAAUAAUGGGACGUCAUAGCAAGAUUUGCUGAUUAUACAUCUAAUAAUUUCAUUUAUAUUUAAGUAUUGCCCUUGAUAUUUAUAAAGAAUUUUUGGAUCCAUAACUAGAAAAAAACAUGAUUAUUAAAAUAUUUAAGAUUAUUUAAAGAUCUUUUUAAGAACGAUGUAAUUUUACUUGCGCAACUCUUUAUUUCACAUUUGUAUCUUACAUAUCAAAGCAGCGGGUGCACUCAGAUGGAAAAUCAGCUUUGGAUUUAACAGACCACUGGAUGAAAUGUAAAAGGAGAUUACAAAAUAAUUUAACAGGAUUAAUUAAUAUAAAAAUGAGAGAACGUAAUAAUGAAAUAUCAAAAAAUUUUUCGAAGGCAAAACAUAUCUUCUUAAACGAUCUGAAAUAUCAUACAUUUCUUACGUAAAACGUGUUGUUUUCCAACAAUUAGGAAAAUAAUCUCUAGAGAAACAGUUAGAUUUCAAUCGAAUUGAAAUCGUAGAAGUAUGUGAUAAAUACCAGAGCUCCAAUAAUUUCAAAACAGUUUUGGAAUGAAUCCAAUAUGUAAGUGUAUGUCCGCAGAGGGAACAUAUAAGAUAUCCGAGAGCACGAACUUCAAACCGCUCCACCGCCAGAUUGGCAAAAUAAUAUAUUGGUGGAAUAAUUCGCUAAAUCCGUAUAUCACUGAUAAUAUCUGGAGGACCGCGACUUAACUUGCGAAUACGUAUUGCGCAUAAUUUAUUAUCACGUCGAUAUUCCGGUCACUUAUAUUAGAAUGCUAUGGUAAAAUAUAAGCAGUAAUCCAGUAGCGCA